UCCCUCAUAGCUCAGUCAGUAAAGAAUCUGCCUGCAGUGCAGGAAACUCAGGUUCGACUCCUGGGUUGGGAA
rnacentral:tRNA from 1 species